UACGUAGGGAGCAAGCGUUGUCCGGAAUCAUUGGGCGUAAAGCGCGCGUAGGUGGCUUCAUAAGUCCGUUGUGAAAGUCAAAGGCUCAACCUUUGAAAGCCGAUGGAUACUGUGGAGCUAGAGUACGGAAGAGGCGAGUGGAAUUCCUGGUGUAGCGGUGGAAUGCGCAGAUAUCAGGAGGAACACCAAUAGCGAAGGCAGCUCGCUGGGACGUUACUGACACUGAGGCGCGAAAGCUAGGGGAGCAAACAGG
rnacentral:rRNA from 1 species